AACGAACGCUGGCGGCAUGCCUAAUACAUGCAAGUCGAGCGAAUGGAUUAAGAGCUUGCUCUUAUGAAGUUAGCGGCGGACGGGUGAGUAACACGUGGGUAACCUGCCCAUAAGACUGGGAUAACUCCGGGAAACCGGGGCUAAUACCGGAUAACAUUUUGAACCGCAUGGUUCGAAAUUGAAAGGCGGCUUCGGCUGUCACUUAUGGAUGGACCCGCGUCGCAUUAGCUAGUUGGUGAGGUAACGGCUCACCAAGGCAACGAUGCGUAGCCGACCGGAGAGGGGGAUCGGCCACACUGGGACUGAGACACGGCCCAGACUCCUACGGGAGGCAGCAGUAGGGAAUCUUCCGCAAUGGACGAAAGUCUGACGGAGCAACGCCGCGUGAGUGAUGAAGGCUUUCGGGUCGUAAAACUCUGUUGUUAGGGAAGAACAAGUGCUAGUUGAAUAAGCUGGCGCCUUGACGGUACCUAACCAGAAAGCCACGGCUAACUACGUGCCAGCCGCCGCCGUAA
rnacentral:rRNA from 1 species